rnacentral:rRNA from 1 species
GUGGGGAAUCUUGCGCAAUGGGCGAAAGCCUGACGCAGCCAUGCCGCGUGAAUGAUGAAGGUCUUAGGAUUGUAAAAUUCUUUCACCGGGGACGAUAAUGACGGUACCCGGAGAAGAAGCUCCGGCUAACUUCGUGCCAGCAGCCGCGGUAAUACGAAGGGAGCGAGCGUUGUUCAGAAUCACUGGGCGUAAAGAGUGCGUAGGCGGUUAUACAAGUCAGGAGUGAAAUCCCAGGGCUCAACCCUGGAAUUGCUUUUGAAACUGUAUAGCUAGAGUCCCGGAGGGGUUAAUGGAAUUCCGAGUGUAGAGGUGAAAUUCGCAGAUAUUCGGAGGAACACCAGUGGCGAAGGCGAUUAACUGGACGGGCACUGACGCUGAGGCACGAAAGCGUGGGGAUCAAACAGGAUUAGAAACCCCGGUAGUCC